rnacentral:rRNA from 1 species
UGCGGAAGGAUCAUUACCGAGUGAGGGCCCUCUGGGUCCAACCUCCCACCCGUGUCUAUCGUACCUUGUUGCUUCGGCGGGCCCGCCGUUUCGACGGCCGCCGGGGAGGCCUUGCGCCCCCGGGCCCGCGCCCGCCGAAGACCCCAACAUGAACGCUGUUCUGAAAGUAUGCAGUCUGAGUUGAUUAUCGUAAUCAGUUAAAACUUUCAACAACGGAUCUCUUGGUUCCGGCAUCGAUGAAGAACGCAGCGAAAUGCGAUAAGUAAUGUGAAUUGCAGAAUUCAGUGAAUCAUCGAGUCUUUGAACGCACAUUGCGCCCCCUGGUAUUCCGGGGGGCAUGCCUGUCCGAGCGUCAUUGCUGCCCUCAAGCACGGCUUGUGUGUUGGGCCCCCGUCCCCCUCUCCCGGGGGACGGGCCCGAAAGGCAGCGGCGGCACCGCGUCCGGUCCUCGAGCGUAUGGGGCUUUGUCACCUGCUCUGUAGGCCCGGCCGGCGCCAGCCGACACCCAACUUUAUUUUUCUAAGGUUGACCUCGGAUCAGGUAGGGAUACCCGCUGAACUUAAGCAUAUCAAUAAGGCGGA